rnacentral:rRNA from 1 species
CCUACGGGGGGCAGCAGUGAGGAAUAUUGGUCAAUGGCCGGAAGGCUGAACCAGCCAAGCCGCGUGAGGGAGGAAGGCGCAGAGCGUCGCAGACCUCUUUUGCCGGGGGACAAAAGGCCGAACUCGUCCGGUCCUGAGGGUACCCGGAGAAAAAGCAUCGGCGAACUCCGUGCAAGCAGCCGCGGUAAUACGGGGGAUGCGAGCGUUAUCCGAAUUCAUUGGGUUUAAAGGGUGCGCGGGGGGGCCUUUAAGCCGGCGGGGAAAUCGCGGGGCCCAACCCCGGCGAGCCGUCGGAACUGGGGGCCUUGAGUGCGGCGGAGGCAUGCGGAAUGCGCGGUGUAGCAGUGAAAUGCAUAGAUAUCGCGCAGAACCCUGAUUGCGAAGGCAGGGUGCCGUGCCGCCACUGACGCUGAGGCACGAAAGCGCGGGGAUCGAACAGGAUUAGAUACCCUGGUAGUC